AUGAACGCUGGCGGCGUGCCUCAUACAUGCAAGUCGAGCGCACAGAUAAGGAGCUUGCUCCUUUGACGUUAGCGGCGGACGGGUGAGUAACACGUGGGUAACCUACCUAUAAGACUGGGAUAACUUCGGGAAACCGGAGCUAAUACCGGAUAAUAUUUCGAACCGCAUGGUUCGAUAGUGAAAGAUGGUUUUGCUAUCACUUAUAGAUGGACCCGCGCCGUAUUAGCUAGUUGGUAAGGUAACGGCUUACCAAGGCGACGAUACGUAGCCGACCUGAGAGGGUGAUCGGCCACACUGGAACUGAGACACGGUCCAGACUCCUACGGGAGGCAGCAGUAGGGAAUCUUCCGCAAUGGGCGAAAGCCUGACGGAGCAACGCCGCGUGAGUGAUGAAGGUCUUCGGAUCGUAAAACUCUGUUAUUAGGGAAGAACAUACGUGUAAGUAACUGUGCACGUCUUGACGGUACCUAAUCAGAAAGCCACGGCUAACUACGUG
rnacentral:rRNA from 1 species